rnacentral:tRNA from 1 species
UACUCAUUGGUGUAAAGAGCACGUAGAUUUUUGGUGUCUUUGGGGGUGGUGUAAUUCCAUUAUGGGUAA